rnacentral:lncRNA from 10 species
GAGCUGGAUGACCAGAGGGGACUGGUUGGGUGAGCUAACGCUGGGUGUUGCCACAGUGGAAGCUUCAAGGAGGACCUUUUGGGCUGGAGGGCAGCAGUGCUCUGGGACAGUCACAGGCAGACAUUCAACAUCAGUUAGAGACAGCGGGGGCUGAGUCAGCCUUAGGAGUGCUCGGCGAACCUUCUGCCUAAGAUCUGCGGAGUCUGCCAGACACCCCAUCACCCCUGUAAAUUGCCUGAUUCUGCCAGAAGAUACUGGACCCUUCACCUACAUCUCCAGUCAUGAGACUUCCCUCCUACAGGGAGGCUUUUGUUUAGCUGGGCUGAAGUGCUGAGAAAGGGCCCCGGUGGCAGAGGGUCCCAAACACAUGUUAGUGAAAGAACAGCUUCCAUGGACUGCUGAGCAAGUGCUGGGUUCAUUCAUACAACAAUCCUGUCCAGGU